GUUCUUUUUUUCUUUCAGCGCGUGUGUGUUUGCUGCGAUAUGCCGGUUCACAGCGCGGUCAGUGUGGCCAGAUUUUGUUCAGGCAGUUUGAGCUGUAUACAGUUCUUCUUCUUCUUCUUCUUCUUCAUCUUCUUAUUAUUAUUACAAUGGAGCGCCGUCUAUCCGGCCCUUCUAUUCGGACGGGUACCUUUUAUCCGGCUGUCCGUUUAUCCGUGCUGUUGAGAAGUGACAGUUCAAUACAAAGAUGGCAUUGCGUUCUGAGGAGGAUAUUUGAAGAAAAAAACGGUUAUCAGAGCACAUCAUCAUACCAAAAAAAAAAAAUAUAUUCAAGUAAUGCAAAUUUCAAUUAUUAG